rnacentral:rRNA from 1 species
AUUGAACGCUGGCGGCAUGCUUUACACAUGCAAGUCGAACGGUAACAGGCCGCAAGGUGCUGACGAGUGGCGAACGGGUGAGUAAUGCAUCGGAACGUGCCCAGUCGUGGGGGAUAACGCAGCGAAAGCUGUGCUAAUACCGCAUACGAUCUAUGGAUGAAAGCGGGGGACCGUAAGGCCUCGCGCGAUUGGAGCGGCCGAUGUCAGAUUAGGUAGUUGGUGGGGUAAAGGCCUACCAAGCCGACGAUCUGUAGCUGGUCUGAGAGGACGACCAGCCACACUGGGACUGGGACACGGCCCAGACUCCUACGGGAGGCAGCAGUGGGGAAUUUUGGACAAUGGGCGCAAGCCUGAUCCAGCAAUGCCGCGUGCAGGAAGAAGGCCUUCGGGUUGUAAACUGCUUUUGUACGGAACGAAACGGUCUGGGUUAAUACCCUGGGCUAAUGACGGUACCGUAAGAAUAAGCACCGGCUAACUACGUGCCAGCCGCCGCCGUAAUAC